AAAAAGGGAAGGGGUCUGAAUACUUUCCGAAUGCACUGUAUCCCAACCAGAAGCCAUGGAUUACAGGCAAUAUCCACACUGAUCUAAAGGCUAGAGCUGCCGCUUUCAAGGAGCGGGACACUAAUUUGGAUGCUUAUAAGAAAUCCCGCUACGAUCUCCGACGAGCCAUCGAACGGGCAAAGCAUCAAUAUAAGACUAAGAUUGAAUCCUACUGCGCCGGCUCUGACGCUCGUCAGAUUUGGCAGCGCUGCAAACUAUCACGGAUUACAAAGGGAAAACCAGCCGCAAGCUGCCCAGGAAAGAUAAAUACCUUCUAUUCCCACUUCGAGGCAUGCAACUAUGAACCAUGCAUGAGAGCACCAGCUGUCCUGGACGACUGUGAUCUCGCUCUCAGUAGCCGAUGUCAGUAAGACCUUCAAACAGGUUAACAUUCACAAGGCCAUGGGCCAGACGGAUUACCAGGACACGUACUCGGAGCAUGCGCUGACCAACUGGCAAGUGACUUCACUGACAUUUUCAACCUCUCCCUGUCCCAGUCUGUAAUACCUACAUGUUUCAAGCAGACCACAAUAGUCCAUGUGCCCAAGGACGCCAAGGUAACCUGUCUAAAUGAUUAUUGCUACUCACAGAUACUUACACUGACUCUCCAACAUGCACACAUGCAUAUUGACACCACUCACACAUAGUUUAGUUUUGUCUUUCAAAAUCCUAUUUUCCCUAAGCCUAACACUAUACUAGGCCUAACUUCUAAACCUAACCUCCAACCUUAACCCUAAUUGUAACCCUAAAUCAAAUCAAAUUUAUUGGUCACAGUUUUUUUAAGAACCUGAGCCUAAAACAUCAUUUUUCCUCAUGGGGACUGGUGAAAUGACCCUCGUUCUCAGAAUUUUCCUUUGAGGACUUCUACAAGGAUAAUUAAACAAAAAAACACACACACACUUUUACACUGCACAUUGACUCGGUACCGGUACUGCUUGUAUAUAGCCUUGUUAUUGACAUCAAUUGUGUUAUUAUUUUUUGGAAUGUUCUUUUCUUACUUUUAACGCUGCAUUGUUGGGAAAGGGCUCGUAAGUAAGCAUUUCACAGUAAAAGUAUACAACUGUUGUAUUUAGCGCAUGUGACAAAUUAAAUUUGAUUGAUUGAUUUGAUUUUGAUUUGCUUUAAUACCAGACAAAAGGUAGUUCCGCGUUAUUUACUACCGAAGUGAGAAAAUGCUCAUUAUCUAUUGUAUUGUAGAUGUCUCUGACCAAAUAGUAUGAGAUAAUUUCAAUUCACAAUGAUGACCUUUUUUCAGAGCAUUUCUGUUUGGUUUUUCUCUCCCGUGCAUUGACGGACCACUCAAUAGUGCAGAGAGUGAUGCUUCAAAGUCACGUUCCCUCACAUUCCAAUUUGCCUAGAUUAGAGCUACUAGCCAAGCUAGCCAAGAUAUCACUCACUGGGCACUUUCAAAAUCGAGAUGAAAACAUGAAUACAAUGUAACACAAACAAAAUGUUAUAUGGUCAGAACUAUAAAUCUCUAAGAAUGAGUACUGCCGUUGACCUACACAGCAAUCAUCUCUAAAGCACAGAAAUACAUACAGCAGCCCCAACACAAUUAUUAACACAAAUAUUCACCUACAAUUCCACAUCUCUGAUGGUAUUCCAUUUUCAAUAAACAUUUCAAAAAUCCUUUCUUAGACUUAUGUUGUCAUUGAUUAGACUUGUGCAGUCAUUGAUUAGACUUGUGCAGUAUUUGUGCAGUCAUUGAUUAGACUUGUCAGGAAUUAGGCUACAGUCAUUUGUGAACAAACAUAUUGCAUCAUUGCACAUGCGGUUUCAAAUGAAUAGGAAAGUUCAAGGCAAAGUUCAAUGUUAAGAUGGUGACCAUCAAGCUAUUCAAUGUCUGGAAUGCCUUGAGCUUUAUACAACGUUGAAGUCAUUGGACUAAUAAUGAAAUUAGUAACUUUAGUGCAUAUAGUUAGUAGAUGAGCAGCUGGUCCUAAUGGUAGUAAGAAGCCGCAGCUUUCUGCCAUCCCUCUAGCCUGCUCUACUCUAGUCAGCGAGGCGUUUCAGAUGCUAGAGCAGGGUUUAGGGUUAGCUUGUUUACCCUCCUACUCAGGCAGAGGGAGACAGGUAGUCUUUCCAACUCACUGCACAAUAAAUCCCCCAUUCCCUGCAGUGGGGCUUGGGGUAUUUACUGUUCGGAAUGUGAGUGGCAACUUUCUGCAAGUUGCUGACUCUCCUCAGCGCUUACAUUUUAGUAAUUUAGCAUAUGCUCUUAUCCAGAGAGACUUACAGAAGUGAGUGCAUACAUUUUCGUAACUUUCUCUGUACUGUUCUCAGCAGAGCAAAGCUGGAGGAGGAACCUUGCUCUUCAGUCCUGACCUUUCCUCCUCUUCCUCAGGAACAUGGCUAUGUACUCCAUCCCUGUGCUCUUCUCCACACACCUCUUCACUAUGGCAAACUUCCCCCUGGAGAAAGAUAGGGGACUUAACGUUGAAGGACAUGCCUUAAUAAUGAGCACACUGCCCCUUACAACAGGAUCAAAACACAUAGGACUACAACGUGAUAAACCAUUUAUUAAUAGGUCUUAGAGAAGGCUAACUAUAGUGAUGAUAGUGAUUGUUAAUGUUGAUUAUGCAUUUUGGUGGAUAAUCAAGAUUGUUAUUUACAUCCAACUAGUCUGUCUUCCCUUGAUUAGAAAUGUAUAGUGAAAUUGAAUGAUUGGGAAAUGGGCAAUAAGGUGGCACAGACCAUCAAUUGUUGUCAUGGUCACUGAAUAAGUCUUUGUCUCCCUGCAUUCCUUCUUCAUUCAAUCAUUAUUAAACCAAUGCGACCUUCAAGCUCACUCAACCAUUGCUUUUAAUUACCCACUUUAGUGCCCAGAAAGAGAGCCUGGGUUCAUCAAUGACCUCAUGCAGUAUUAUUGGCUGGCUCGAUGUCACAUUUUGGCUCCCGGCUUAAGUGUCACGAAGUCUACCGAAGGUGGCUCCUCUCCCUGUUCGGGCGGCGCUCGGCGGUCGUCGUCGCCGGCCUACUAGCUGCCACCGAUCCUCUUUUCCGUUUAGUUUGGUUUUGUCUGGUUUUGUGUUACACCUGUUUUGAGUUAUGUAAUUAGUGGGGUAUUUAGUCUUGCUGUCUGGGUUUAGGUUUUUGUGCGGGAUUGUUCGUUUGUUGCCUGUCGUGGGGUGUUUUAGUUUUCUACAUUAUUUUUGUAGAAGACGUUUAUUUUGUUGCUGGACUGCGCUCCAACCAUUUUGAGGCGGACAUUGUUAUUUUUGGUGUGGUACGUUUUUCCUUGUUCAUUUUCCUAUUGGAUUUGUUGGAACUAGGAUAAUAAACAUCCUACUCCGUAUAUGUGGUCUCCUGCGCCUGACUUCACCCCCCAUCACUCUAGUGAGCCGUGACAUUAAGGCUCCAAUGACUGUCUACCCUCAGAGUUUAUCACGUGCAGUGAUAUUCAGGAGUCAGCAAAUCAAGUCUUCAUACAUACACACGUAUAACGUUGUACACGUCCUGAAAUGGCUCGGUCCUGAUUGGGGUUUUGAUGCUGUCCAGAAGAAGCGCAGUGGCUCCUCGGUUUGUCUCGACCUGACGGCGGCUUCUCACGUUGAUGAUCCGUGGACUGGCUGGUGGAAUCAUUCUUGGUUAACCUGAUGAAUACUCUGUCAACAGAAAUGUGCGCUGUUGGGAGCGUAACAAAGUGUCCUUUCUUUUACUGCGUUUUGGAGAAGUUUUCCAGUUAGGGCAUUUCUGACCAAAUUUACAAAUGUAAUUCUAGCCAAUCACCCUGUGUAUAAGAACAUACCCAAAUGUUAUCCGCAGUUCUAAAGCAGUCAGGCAGAGAAACAGUUGUUUGACAGGCUGCUCUGAUAACCCUCUUGACAAAAGUCACUAUAGCUCUGAGGCAGUGGCUGAUAAUAGCUCACCAGAACGCACAAUGGGCGAAUCAUUUUUGCAUCGCCCGGUGCCCCGGUUGGACGGGGCUGGCUCAUUUUAGACCAUUCCAUUGGUCGUAAAAUAAAAUCUCCACCCACUUUGGGCAAUCUUGGAAAACGAAACAUUUCCGAGUUAAAGGAGCAGGGCGGGGUCUUGAAAUGGAAGGAAUUCGAUGUCCCAGGCAUGCCCCUUGUGAACGGGGUUAGCAUUGAUUGUAUUCAUUUUGAAACCGGCCUGCCUCCCGCAAGUGAGCCGGGUGCCCCUGUCAAAGACGGCGAAGUCGGCUGGAAACAAAAGUGAGGUAUGUCAAGCACGUGGAGUAAUGAGUUAAGAUUCAGUGUUUUCACAUGCAUAAGCGUUUGCUCUUUAUUAAAACGUAUAUCGCUUUACCUGCCUUCCCAAGGAAAACUACAAAAAUGGUAGCCUAAUGUAUAGCCAAUUUGAUAGAAAAUGCAUGUUUGAUGUUUCUGAACAAUGCAUCAUGCUGUUUUGUUGACAUUAUGGCCCGGUGAUGGUCGAUUUGACCCGGUGCUCCUCCCUCACCGAUUUCUUGCACAGUGAGGUGAGGAGCCAUAUCCCGGUUUACCCCGGUUCAGUCUAAUAGAACUCCCACCUUGAGCUCAUUAUGUAGGUAGCCCAGCUUGAAUAGCCUCAAGGGAUGCCACUGAAACACUACACACUACUGAAAGAUGACAUAGGAUUGAUGGUCACAGGAACAAGCAUUAACAAUUUCUUUAUUCACUUUUAAAAAGUCACACAUUUGACUUUGAGUCAAGUAAUGCUCUUAGGCUGAUGACUAGCUAUAGCUGAUUGCUGUUUAUGUUCUUUAAAUAUGAGAAAAUGAUAUUUUAUUUGUCUAUAAAUCAGCCUAUUAUUGUAUUCAAUGACAAAAUAAAACGUCUCAAUCGAAA